UACGUAGGGUGCAAGCGUUAAUCGGAAUUACUGGGCGUAAAGCGUGCGCAGGCGGUUUUGUAAGUCUGACGUGAAAUCCCCGGGCUCAACCUGGGAAUUGCGUUGGAGACUGCAAGGCUAGAAUCUGGCAGAGGGGGGUAGAAUUCCACGUGUAGCAGUGAAAUGCGUAGAGAUGUGGAGGAACACCGAUGGCGAAGGCAGCCCCCUGGGUCAAGAUUGACGCUCAUGCACGAAAGGCGUGGGGAGCAAACGAG
rnacentral:rRNA from 1 species